GCGCCUGUAGCUCAACUGGAUAGAGCAACGGCCUUCUAAGCCGUAGGCUACAGGUUCGAUUCCUGUCAGGCGCACCA
rnacentral:tRNA from 1 species